rnacentral:snoRNA from 1 species
AAAAAAGCAGGGAUCUGUUACCUUUUGUGAACUGGUCUCUUGUAAACUUCAGGGAUAGAAAUUUGCAAUGUUAUUGGGUGAACCUCUUGAUUUUCAAUGAUUGAUGGUUCAGUAAACAAUGUGACAUGA